AGCAGCCGCGGUAAUUCCAGCUCCAAUAGCGUAUAUUAAAGUUGUUGCAGUUAAAAAGCUCGUAGUUGAAUUUCGGGAUCAAUAUGUUGGUCGUGCCUUGGUACGUACUGGCAUUAUCGAUUCCUACCUUCUGAAGAACCUCGAUGUCAUUAAUUUGGUGUCUUGGGGAAUCAGGACUGUUACUUUGAAAAAUUAGAGUGUUUAAAGCAGGCUCGCGCUUGAAUACAUUAGCAUGGAAUAAUGAAAUAGGACGUUUGAUUCUAUUUUGUUGGUUUCUAGGAUCGACGUAAUGAUUAAUAGGGAUAGUUGGGGGCAUUAGUAUUCAAUUGUCAGAGGUGAAAUUCUUGGAUUUAUUGAAGACUAACUACUGCGAAAGCAUUUGCCAAGGAUGUUUUCAUUAAUCAAGAACGAAAGUUAGGGGAUCGAAGACGAUCAGAUACCGUCGUAGUCUUAACCAUAAACUAUGCCGACUAGGGAUCGGAUGAUGUUAAUUUUUAAUGUACUCAUUCGGCGCCUUAAC
rnacentral:rRNA from 1 species